rnacentral:rRNA from 1 species
UACAGAGGUCUCAAGCGUUGUUCGGAUUCAUUGGGCGUAAAGGGUGUGUAGGUGGCGCCGUAAGUCGGGUGUGAAAUUUCGGAGCUUAACUCCGAAACUGCAUUCGAUACUGCGGUGCUUGAGGACUGGAGAGGAGACUGGAAUUCAUGGUGUAGCAGUGAAAUGCGUAGAGAUCAUGAGGAACACCGAUGGCGAAGGCAGGUCUCUGGGCUGACACUGACGCUCAUGCACGAAAGCGUGGGGAGCAAACAGG